rnacentral:rRNA from 1 species
UACGGGGGGAGCAAGCGUUGUUCGGAUUUACUGGGCGUAAAGGGCGCGUAGGCGGUAUGACAAGUCAGAUGUGAAAGAGGCCGGCUUAACCGGCAAGGGUCAUUUGAAACUGUCAGACUAGAGUGCAGCAGAGGAUAGUGGAAUUCCCGGUGUAGUGGUGAAAUGCGUAGAUAUCGGGAGGAACACCAGUGGCGAAGGCGACUAUCUGGGCUGCAACUGACGCUGAGGCGCGAAGGCUAGGGUAGCAAACAGG